rnacentral:rRNA from 1 species
GAAAAGAAACUACAAGGAUUCCCCUAGUAACUGCGAGUGAAGCGGGAAGAGCUCAAAUUUGAAAUCUGGCGGCUCUUUGACCGUCCGAGUUGUAAUCUAGAGAAGUGCUACCCGUGCUGGACUGUGUACAAGUCUCCUGGAAUGGGGCAUCGUAGAGGGUGAGAAUCCCGUCUUUGACACGGACUGCCAGUGCGCCCUGGGUGUGCUCUCGAAGAGUCGAGUUGUUUGGGAAUGCAGCUCAAAAUGGGUGGUAAAUGCCAUCUAAAGCUAAAUAUUGGCGAGAGACCGAUAGCGAACAAGUACCGUGAGGGAAAGAUGAAAAGAACUUUGGAAAGAGAGUUAAACAGUACGUGAAAUUGCUGAAAGGGAAACGCUUGGAGUCAGUCGCGUUGGCCAGAAAUCAGCCUUGCUCCUGCUUGGUGUACUUUCUGGUCUUUUACGGGUCAGCAUCAAUCUUGACCGCCGGACAAAGUCUUUGGGAAUGUGGCAUCUUUUGGAUGUGUUAUAGCCCAGGGUCGCAUACGGCGGCUGGGAUUGAGGAACUCAGCACGCCCGCAAGGGAUGGGUCCUUGGACCACAAAUUUUUUUCGUGCUUAGGAUGCUGGCAUAAUGGCUUCAAUCGACCCGUCUUGAAACACGGACCAAGGAGUCUAACAUGCCUGCGAGUGUG